rnacentral:misc_RNA from 1 species
UCCCGGUUAACCCGGGCAGUCUCAUUAGAGUUCCCACCUUUACGUGUUGGCAACUAAUGAUAAGGGUUGCGCUCGUUGCUGGACUUAACCAAACACCUCACGGCACGAGCUGACGACAGCCAUGCAGCACCUGUGCAGAGGCCCCGAAGGGCGGCUCCAUCUCUGGAGACUUCCUCUGCAUGUCAAGUCUGGGUAAGGUUCUUCGCGUUGCAUCGAAUUAAACCACAUGCUCCACUGCUUGUGCGGGUCCCCGUCAAUUCUUUUGAGUUUCAGCCUUGCGACUGUACUCCCCAGGCGGCAUACUUAACGCGUUCGCUACGGCACAGCCAGGGUUGAGUCCGGCUACACCUAGUAUGCAUCGUUUACGGCAAGGACUAC